AAUACCAUUAAUGAGUUUCUGUUACAUUCACAGGUGUGACUAAGUGUCCCAGUCAGCAUCCACAAAAACAGGACCCUGGUAAUGGCACACCUAAAUGAACUGCAGGCAUUAUUAAUGUUAUCAGUUACACUUGUGCUGUUCCUAAAGAGAUGAGAUCAGUCACAAAAUGAAU